rnacentral:rRNA from 1 species
GACGAACCGUGCGAACGUUAUUCGGAAUCACUGGGCUUAAAGCGCGUGUAGGCGGGCCGCCGCGUCGGCCGCUGAAAUCCCCCGGCUCAACCGGGGAACGGGCACCGAUACGGGCGGCCUCGAGGGGGGUAGGGGGGCCUGGAACUUCCGGUGGAGCGGUGAAAUGCGUUGAGAUCGGAAGGAACGCCCGUGGCGAAAGCGAGGCCCUGGACCCUUACUGACGCUGAGACGCGAAAGCCAGGGGAGCGAACGGG